UAAGGAUAAAAAAGGAAAAGUGUUAGUGAAAGAUGUUGAUAUUAAAGAAAGAUUAGGGCUUAGAAGAAAUAAGAGAGAAGAGAAGAGAAGAGACCAGAAUAAGGAGAGAAGAGAAGAGGGAGAAAAAAAAAAUGUUGCUUUGAAAGAGGCGCACCUUGCCUCGCCGUGCACCUUGGUGCCUUGGCAAGAGAGGAGUGCCUUGAGAGAGGUGCUCCUCGCCAUAGUUAUAUUAAAGGCUCAUGGUGCCAAGGGUCCUAAAGCCUAGGCACAAGAUGUGCGCUUGAGCGAUGUGAGGCGCAAAAAUAAAAAUAUUCACAAAA
rnacentral:misc_RNA from 1 species